CUUCAUCUCUUCUAUUUUCUUCACUUACACCUUACACUUCAGCUGAGUCUAACGAGGCUCAGGUGCGGAGCCUUCCACUGUGGACCGAGACUACGCAAAGGUAGAACACCAUGGAAACUUCGCUGACUUUAUCAUCAACCUUGAUUUCGCUACGCUCAAUAAGAACCCGGAAUAGCGGAAAUAGGUUCGUGUUCCGCUUCCAAAGCGAUUGAAUCGGUAACUACAAACGUUGGCGAAAGAAGCGAACUAACAGUGUUGGUCCGUCCUAAUAUUGCUAAACCAGUUAUUUCGCUAGGAGAGCUACUUUCCCUUAAGUGCUAAUGGUUGUAGACCUAGCAAAUGGGGAGUGGCUUCCCUUUAGCUAGAACUCAUACCUCGAAAGAGUACUUCAGCUACUAACUUAACUUUAAGCUCAUACUUGAAUGAAACACACAAACUGGGGGUCGGGCAUUGAAAUUGGAUAUUAGCAUCACUAUCGAAAGGAGUUGGAAUAGUGUUUAGUGAGCGUACUCUGCUGAGAGAUAUGCCGUGGGGAACGACAAACUACCAACAACAGAGCAAGGGAACUCGAGUCUCCUAGUUGAUGUUCGUACUAUUCAUCGAUGGUGAACUGCUAACUACCAACAACAGGGGCAGGGACCUAGAACCAUUAAUGGAUAGCGAUGGGACUACGAAUAAUAGGCCCUAGUGCCUAACUCUAUCAAUAAGCCCUAGCUCAUUCCUCUCACGAGUAGCUCUUUCCGCUCGACUACCUCGAAUAAGUAGCUAGGAUCUCUAGCAAGGAGGCCUUACUAUGAACUCAGGACUCGCAACUCAAGCAAGUAGCUCCGCUCCUAGGUCAGUCUUUAUUAUCACAUGGUUCUUGCUCCUAGCUAAUUGAAAGCUCACGUGACGAUGGCUUGAUUUUCCUCAUUGGCUAAAUAUGUCGCUUAUAACUAAGAAAGCAGCGAAGACGGGUAGGGUGCGGCUUCACGUAACCGAAUCCUUUUCCGACUUGACAGCACUUGACCUUCUUCUUCUGAAAGUAAAGAAAGAGAUGAGAUUGAUAAGCCGACAGAGCCAAUGAGCCCUAACUAAAGUCCCAAAACGGUACCCUUUGCUGAAUUCCAACAGCACAAAGGAUGGAUUGUUCAUUAAAUGAGAAAGGUACCCCUCUAGGUCUACGGUUUCGUAUCGAUCUAUAGACUGAUCUACCUCUACUUCUACUUCUUAUGUCUCGCCGGAGCUGGAGGACAGAUGCGAUAAGUUGUUACCGUUCGUUUCACGAUUUGGUAAUUCCCGCUUAUGAGAAUUUAUUUCUUUGGAACCUGGGAAAGAGCGCCAAGAGCAAGAUCUACUGUAGUGAAAUGAAAAACUGGAUAGCCUUCAUUCCCCUGCCACGCCCCACUUGGAGAAAAGAGAGGUCUUGUGACCGAAUUCUCGAGAGAACCCUUACCUAUCUCCCAUAGUGCCGAGCCUAGAGUGAAAUCCCGCGUCGCGGGUCUCCGACUGCCUUAAGCUAAAUAUCCCUUGUUGGUUGAUUGGAUUGGACUUUUUUUCGAGAAAGUUCCCCGUUUUUGUUUGCAUCUCAAGUGAGUCUGCUUCUUCGUUCUUCGUGCGACUUCGUCUCCGUCACAUCUGGCUUUGAAUUGAGUGAGUCUCUUUCCCCCAAAACGAAGGAAGCCCUCUUGCCCACUCUUCCUUCCCCGCACCAGAAAUGGUGCGGGCCUCGCUGUCGCCUUUGGCUCGAGCUACGUUUGAUUCCGGGAACAGAUAGCUUGCUGCCCAAAAAAGCAAGCCAUAUCGUAAUUCAACCUACCAACCCAUAUUUUUUCCCUCCGGGGGGAUCCCUUAUCCCCGUUGAAUAUCCCUUCCUAAUGCUCAUCUAUUAAUCCCUCUUCCCGCCGAUUCCAUUUUCUUUUUUAUUUUCCUCGUCGUCCUUCCCUGAAUUGGAGGGGGUUUCCAUUGGAAUCACUUCGAUUCCCCUCACCCAACUCACGCGGAUCAUCACGGACCUUCCUUUUUUUAUAUGCGUCCUGUAUGAAUGUACAACCAAAUAAGUACAGGUAACUUGACUAAGAAGUACAUAAAUACCGAGACC
rnacentral:lncRNA from 1 species